GAUGAACGCUAGCUACAGGCUUAACACAUGCAAGUCGAGGGGAAACGACAUUGAAGCUUGCUUCGAUGGUCGUCGACCGGCGCACGGGUGAGUAACGCGUAUCCAACCUGCCUCUGACCAAGGGAUAACCCGUCGAAAGUCGGCCUAAUACCUUAUGCAGUCGUCGGAAGUCAUCUGAUGACGACGAAAGAUUUCAUCGGUGAGAGAUGGGGAUGCGUCUGAUUAGCUUGUUGGCGGGGUAACGGCCCACCAAGGCAACGAUCAGUAGGGGUUCUGAGAGGAAGGUCCCCCACAUUGGAACUGAGACACGGUCCAAACUCCUACGGGAGGCAGCAGUGAGGAAUAUUGGUCAAUGGGCGAGAGCCUGAACCAGCCAAGUAGCGUGCAGGAUGACGGCCCUAUGGGUCGUAAACUGCUUUUAUGCGGGGAUAAAGUGAGGGACGUGUCCUUCAUUGCAGGUACCGCAUGAAUAAGGACCGGCUAAUUCCGUG
rnacentral:rRNA from 1 species